rfam:Salmo salar isolate Sally breed double haploid chromosome ssa24, whole genome shotgun sequence.
CCAAAGGCUCUUUUGAGAGCCAUUCACAUUGCAUCCAUAUUGCAAU